UAGGGUUAGGAACUAGGUACUCAGUGGUCUGGGUUCCUACUUUAACAAGCUGUCCGGCGGACAGCGUAGCAAGUUAGCAAGCUCCACUACAGCGCGCCAGACUAUUGAGUGCCCACUCAAGCUGGUCUGGGCAAACACAGAUGGAGCCACCAUAAGACAAACCGAAAGGUAAAACAAAUGAGGCUCACAUUGAAAUGUUCGCUGGGUGGCUGUUCAUAAAAAUCAAGAGUCUGCAACCCUCGGGAUGCAGUACCAAAUCCGGAACUGGUGCAUGUCUGGUACCACGUUUGGUGCUGGGUUUGGGCAGCGGUGCGUUUUGCAUUGCAGUUCUGGCCCAGAGGUUGGGGACACCCCAAACGUCUAAAAGUGACGCGGAGGACCUCCUUAAAAAACGUCCAUGUGUGAUGACUUGGAAGUGAGAAUGUGUUGGUAUUCGUGUCAGCUGCCUAUCAACCAUAUAGUUGUGUUACUUACCUGAUAAGCCCGUUGUGGUUUUUGUCUGCAGUGUUUGUUCCUUGUUAAAAUUCCCAGCUGGUGCUGGGGGGCCUGGAAACAGAAAGUCAUUAAACAGAUCAUUUCCCCUCCUCUGGGAGCAAACUGGACAUGGCUGGAAUCCAAUUCUCCUCUGAGACAGGGCUUAACAUUGUCACCAAUGUCUUGGUGCUGAUAAAUUGUUAGAUUGUGCCUUUUUUUUUCUUUGUGACCUUAUAGCGUUUUUUUUUUCCUUCCAGAGUGCAAAGAUAACGUCUGAGCAGUUGGACUCAAAUCUGCACUUUUCUAUGUUCUGGCUGAAGAUGGAAGAAGGUCUUGUUUGUGUAUAAGAGACAGAGAGCAAGAGAGAGUGCAUAAGCUCUCCCUGGCCUUACCGUGGGCUCUGCUUCAAACUCCCCAGAUUAAGUGCUGAACCCUGACCUUUAAAACGGCUCUUACUGAGCUCAGCACAGCUCACAGGGGAGCGCUGGGUUCAACAACCCUUCUAUUUUAUCAGCGCACGGCCACAAUCUGGACACUUUUUCCAGACUUAAGUAUCACACUUUAAAUGAGAAGCACAUUUCUACUGGUUUAGACUAACCCUAAGAAUAUCUGAUACAUAUAUUUUUGAGACUCCUUUCUCAUUAGCAUGAUCCAAACCUUCAUUAAAAAUCCCUUGUAUAUAACAUGCUCCAUGUUUUCUGUCCUGUAGUUCAUCAUUAUUCCACUAGGGGUAGUAGAAGGGCUUUUCCUUCUAAUUUAAAAAUGGCUGCUUUCAUGAAAUCUCAAACACUUUUGGUUGGAAAAGUUGUUUUAGUUUUAAUAACUCCUCUAUUGCUACUAAUUUUUUUAAUGACUACUUGCUGUAUUGAAAGAAUGAAAAAUGUACUGAUGAUAAAUCUUUACAAAACAGUUAAACCAUGUUAAAUAUAUGUGGAUCAGGGGUAAUUAAUAUGCUCUAUUCUGGAAUACUCGUCAAUAUUUUUAUAUUUUAAACUAACAUUGUUGUCUACAAAAACUCAUUAAAAAAAACACUAUCUAUGUACUGUCUCAUUGAAAAUAAUAAUAUAUUUAAUUUUUUUUUAGGAUUUCAAAGGGUUUUAAAAAUAUAUACUUUAAUUAUUUGAUGAAGUGUCUUUGAUGUAGUGGGUUUUAUGCAGUUAAGAAUUAAUUUAAUUGGGAUUUCAAUAAGUACAUUAACUCUAACAUCUUAAAGGCAAAAAUUUUGAUAACUUGCUGCCAAUUUUGUGCACCCCCCCAUAAAUAAAUUAUAUAGAAAAAGUAUCGUCACAAAAUUUCCUCCUACUCUAUUUUUUUCUCUAACAAUGGUCUCAUGGGUCCCCAAAAUUUUGAACGUGAGGACCACAUAACUGUUUUUGUUCUGGUGUGGGGCUGGGGUCAGUUUGUAGGCUAACAGAAAACAUAUAACAAUCACAAGGUGGGCUAAACAUAAACAUUUAUGUUUUUCCAGAAAGCCACAUAACCAAAUUUCAAUAACCCCUCUCUGUAAUCUUUACAUUCUGGUGGGUCUUGAUUGUGCGGCCAGAUUGAGAAAGAAAAAAAAAAAAUCAUUCAUCUCUGAUAGUGUAUGGGGGCCAGAACAAAUGGAGGCGGGCCAGACCCCUGGUCUAUGUGACUUAUAUGGAAGCACAGAGCUUCCACCAGUGGAGAUUUAAAAAAAACAAAAAAACAUUGCAUGUCAGAUUGUAACGUAAAAAGUUUAUUGUUCUAACAAUAUGACUUUCUUGUCUCUUGUUUUAUGAAGUUCUUACAGUAUAAUUUACAGGUUUACACAAUAUAGAUAUUUAUCGUGUUAUAGCAAAAAAAAAAAAAAAAUUCAGGUUCUUAUAAUAAAAAUAUUACAAUGUUUGAACAAUAAAGUUUAUGGUAAGAACAUGAAAGUUUUAUUGUUCCAACGAUAAAGUUUAUUGUACAAACAAGAAAAUUAUAUUCUUCGAACAAUGAAGUGACAUUCUUCGUUUGAAACAAAGUUGAUGAUGGCAGAUUAUGCAUAUUUGCACAUUUUACCCACCUCUGCACUUUUUUUUCUACUGUAAAUUAUGCACUUAUUGUUUGCACUUCUGGUUGGAUGCUGACUGCAUUAGUUGUUUUGUACAUCCACAAUGUCAAUAAAGUUGAAUCUGAUCUAUGAGCAACUGAGGAAAUGAUCCUGAAAUAAAACUGUCAGCUUUAAUAAAGACAUUUUCUCAGUUGCUAAUCUACCAUCAUCAAUUUUUUUAUAAAAAGAAGAAAACUUUAUUGUUAAACACAAUAUAGUUCUCAUGUUUGUACAAUAAAUUAUAAUAUCUGAAGAAUGCAAUAUUUUUAUUGUAAGAACAUGAUAAACACGUAUAUUGUUUUAAAAUGAAAAUUAUAUUGUCAGAACUUGAUAUUUUAAUUUUGUUCAAACAAGAACAUUAUAUAAAAAAAAAAAAACUUUUACCUUAUAACGUCAUAUACAGUUUUUUUUUUCUAUUUAAUUUAUUGUCACCGGGGGCAGUUUUACGCUUCCGUAGACUUGUAACAAUAGACUUUUUUCCUCUCAGAAAUAAACAGUAUUCUGACUUACACAUAGAAAAAAAUGCUAAGGCAAAAAUACCGAUACACUAUAAACAAGUAUAACUUGUGAAUCCGCACGUCUAUGCUUUGUAAACAUAAAAACACUUUUCCACGUUGUUCUGUCUAACUUCUCUGACAUUUCAACCAAAAAAUAAAUUGGUUUUAUAAAUCAAUAAGCCAGCUCCAAAUGGGAAGCAGAAAAUAGGUUUUCAAGUGUGAGCUGACCUUAUCAGUGAGCGUGUCUGGUUUGAAGAGGUGUGAUGCCAUGUUGUUGUGUUGCAUUGGUCUGCAUCAAAUUUGAUAGAAAUGUCUCUAUUACACCUCUGUGGGAAUGAAUCCGAAAAAAAA